CAGAGUCGUAAAAAACUCCCAACCCAUGUGAAUUUACCUUUGUUGCCUCGGCAGGACCUACCCGGUAUCUACCCUGUAGCCUGCCGGUGGACCAUUAAACUCUUGUUAUUUUAAAUAUAUCUGAGCGUCUUAUUAAAUAAGUCA
rnacentral:misc_RNA from 1 species